rnacentral:lncRNA from 1 species
AGGCAGCUGGAUGGCUCAGUGAAUUGAGAGUCAGGCCCAGAGAUGGGAGGUCCUGGGUUCAAAUAUGGCCUCAGACACUUCCUGCUGUGUGACCCUGGGCAAGUCACUUAACCCCCAUUGCCUACCCUUACUGCUUCUCUGUCUUAGAACCAAUAUUCAAUAUUGAUUCUAAGACAGAAGGUAAGGGUUAAAAAAAUUCUAUUCCUCUGGGAGAACACUAUAUACAAUAAUAGCAAUAUUGGAUGAUGAUUAUCUAUGAAAAUGUGACCACUCUCAGCAAUUCAUUGAUCUGGGACAAUCCUAAAAGACUUAUGACAGGGAAAGCUAUCCACCUCCAGAGAAAGAACUAUUGGAGUUGUCUUUCACAUCAGUAUAUUUUUAGUUUUAUUUGGGGGUUUUGGUUACAUUUGAGUUUUCUCUUACAACAAUGACCAAUAUAUAAGUGUGUUUUUCAUGACAAUAAAAAGGAAAAAAAUAAUACAAAUAAAAAUAAUGUUUUUUCCAUGCACUAAUCCUAAAGGUUUACAAUUCUGUUUUCCCUGAUACUGGUUAAUAAAAAGCAUCGGUUCCCUGUAGCCUUUCCAAAAAUGUGUGGUUGUAUGUUUAGUUUGGGUUUGGAGAUUUUUUAUUUUUUGAGAUCUGCUUGUUUACAUUUGCUAGCACACUCCUGGCACAGUUCCAGCAGUUCAGGAAUAGAAGCAAAUAGUGGGUGUGACCCGGGGUAGAGGACUGGCAUGGUGUGUGGCAUCGGCAAAGAACCAGAGAAAUGAGGCAUUCAGCAAUGGAAGACAGCAGUAAUUCACACUUAAACCGGUUAGCUGUAGGGUCAAGACUGAAGUGAGGCCAGAGAUGGGGAGAGGAGAACAGAAACUAACCCAGUCCAUUACCUUCCUUUCCAGAAAUGAACACAAUUCAUCAGGCGUCCUCUGGAAUGAUGUCUGGUCAUUGGGAAAUUCUGUUCCUGGGUUUAUACCACAAGGAAGCCACUGAAAAGAAGAAAGUCCCCAUGUCCACCAAAAUAUUUAUAGCAGCACUUGUUGUGAUAGCAAAGAAUUGGAAAUCAGAGGUGAUGGAAGCAGGCACUGUGGAAUGCUUAGAGCCUGGUCAGACAUGGAAGAAGCCAAGGUCAUCCACUGCAUCCUGAGCCAUCACCAGUCAUCUUGAGUUUUGUCUUGCCACUGGACUUUGAUGACUCUGGAAAAAAAAGAGAGACUGAUGACUUUGUGCAACUCUGCCUCUCUUAAACCCAGUCGUUACCUGAAUUAAAAGAUGUCACCAGUGAUGUAAUUUUGGUCCUCUUCAAGUAAGAAGCAUAACAACCAGCCAACCUCCAUCUGAAUGUAAGCUCCUGGAGGGUAGGAACUUUCUUUUUGCUUGUAUUUGUAUCUGCAGCACUUCCCUUCCAUCUUAGAAUCAAUACUGUAUAUUGGUUUGGAGGCAGAAGAGUGGUAAGGGCUGGGUAAUGGGGGUUAAGUGACUUGUCCAGGGUCACACAGUUAGGACAUGUCAGGUUAGAUUUGAACC